rnacentral:rRNA from 1 species
GGCGUAGCCGAUGCACAGACGGUAGAGAUUCCGUCACCACCAAAAGAGUUAAGCACAGGGACACAUUUGAAGUCUCAGAGCCGGGUGUUGGUUCCGGUAGAGAUCGAGGGAAAUUAGUACCGAAGUCUGAGAUGGAAGAUGGCGAGAAAAGCUGUGUGUAUUUCUGAGGUGCCCGUACCGCAAACCGACACAGGUAGGUAGGAAGAAGAUUCUAAGGCCAACGGGAGAAGGGUUGUUAAGGAACUCGGCAAAUUGACCCCGUAACUUCGGGAGAAGGGGUGCUCCAGAGAUGGAGCCGCAGAGAAUCGGCCCAAGCAACUGUUUACCAAAAACACAGGUUUGUGCUAAAUCGAAAGAUGACGUAUACGAGCUGACGCCUGCCCGGUGCUGGAAGGUUAAGAGGAGAUGUGCAAGCAUUGAAUCGAAGCCCCAGUGAACGGCGGCCGUAACUAUAACGGUCCUAAGGUAGCGAAAUUCCUUGUCAGGUAAGUUCUGACCCGCAUGAAAGGCGUAAUGAUUUGGGCACUGUCUCAACAGCCCGCCCGGCGAAAUUGUAGUACCGGUGAAGAUGCCGGUUACCCGCGACAAGACGGAAAGACCCCAUGGAGCUUUACUGUAGCCUAAUAUUGGGUUUCGAUGUUGCAUGCACAGGAUAGAUGGGACACAGGGAAACAAGAGCUUUGGCUUCUGCGGAGUGGCCGUUGGGAUACCAUCCUUGCGAUAUUGGAAUUCUAACCUGCGGCUCUGAAUCGAGUCGGGGGACAUUGUUAGGUGGGCAGUUUGACUGGGGCGGUCGCCUCCUAAAGAGUAACGGAGGCGUUCAAAGGUUCGCUCAGCUUGAACGGAAAUCAAGCAAAAGAGUGCAAACGCAGAAGCGAGCCUAACUGCGAGACUGACGGGUCGAGCAGUAACGAAAGUUGGAGUUAGUGAUCCGGUGGUAUGUGAGUGGAAAUGCCAUCGCUCAACGGAUAAAAGUUACCCUGGGGAUAACAGGCUGAUCUCCCCCAAGAGUCCACAUCGACGGGGAGGUUUGGCACCUCGAUGUCGGCUCAUCGCAUCCUGGGGCUGUAUUCGGUCCCAAGGGUUUGGCUGUUCGCCAAUUAAAGCGGUACGCGAGCUGGGUUCAGAACGUCGUGAGACAGUUCGGUCCCUAUCUGUCGUGGGCGCAGGAUAUUUGAUGGGAGCUGUCCCUAGUACGAGAGGACCGGGACGGACGUACCUCUGGCGCACCAGUUGUUCCGCCAGGAGCAUAGCUGGGCAACUACGUACGGAUCGGAUAAACGCUGAAAGCAUCUAAGCGUGAAGCCGACCCAAAGAUAAGAUAUCCCAUUGUUUUAAACAAGUAAGACCCCUUGAAGACUACAAGGUUGAUAGGCACGAUGUGUAAGUGGAGUGAUCCAUUCAGCAAGCGUGUACUAAUAGGUCGAGGGCUUGACCAC